GAAAAGAAGAUUAAUAGAAAAUGUUAAGUAAUUAAAGAGUGCAUAGUCAUUUAAAUGGGAGUAUCUCGGAAAUAACAUUUUCGAAAUACGUGCGUGCUACGUCGUCAUUUCCUCCAAGAGUUGAUUAGCACUUGAGUUCUUUGCAGUGAUUUAAAUGGUCUAAAUGCUAAGCCAUAUAUGACUUUCGGCUUUACAUGUACCACAAUUUUAACUGGGCUUUGGAAGGUUUCUAUAGAACUGGUGAAUACCUGGGAUCCAGUAACAUACGGGAUAUUGAUAUGUCCGUUUGGAUUCAGGAAGGCAAAGUGCGGAAGGUCG